ACGUAGGGUGCGAGCGUUAAUCGGAAUUACUGGGCGUAAAGCGUGCGCAGGUGGCUGUCCAAGCCAGAUGUGAAAUCCCCGGGCUCAACCUGGGAAUGGCAUUUGGGACUGGUCGGCUAGAGUGCGGCAGAGGGAGCUGGAAUUCCUGGUGUAGCAGUGAAAUGCGUAGAGAUCAGGAGGAACACCAAUGGCGAAGGCAGGCUCCUGGGCUAGCACUGACACUCAUGCACGAAAGCGUGGGGAGCAAACAGGAUUAGAUACCCUGGUAGUCCACGCCCUAAACGAUGGCAACUAGUUGUUGGGGGAGCAAUCCCUUAGUAACGAAGCUAACGCGUGAAGUUGCCCGCCUGGGGAGUACGGUCGCAAGAUUA
rnacentral:rRNA from 1 species